rnacentral:rRNA from 1 species
AGUGAACGCUGGCGGUAGGCCUAACACAUGCAAGUCGAACGGCAGCACAGUAAGAGCUUGCUCUUACGGGUGGCGAGUGGCGGACGGGUGAGGAAUACAUCGGAAUCUACUUUUUCGUGGGGGAGAACGUAGGGAAACUUACGCUAAUACCGCAUACGACCUACGGGUGAAAGCAGGGGAUCUUCGGACCUUGCACGAUUGAAUGAGCCGAUGUCGGAUUAGCUAGUUGGCGGGGUAAAGGCCCACCAAGGCGACGAUCCGUAGCUGGUCUGAGAGGAUGAUCAGCCACACUAGAACUGAGACACGGUCCAGACCCCUACGGGAGGCAGCAGUGGGGAAUAUUGGACAAUGGGCGCAAGCAUGAUCCAGCCAUACCGCGUGGGUGAAGAAGGCCUUCGGGUUUUAAAGCCCUUCUGUUGGGAAAGAAAAGCAGCAGGUUAAUACCCCGCUGUUCUGACGGUACCCAAAGAAUAAGCACCGGCUAACUUCGUG